GGAAUAUUGGACAAUGGGCGAAAGCCUGAUCCAGCCAUGCCGCGUGAGUGAAGAAGGCCCUAGGGUUGUAAAGCUCUUUCAGCGGGGAAGAUAAUGACGGUACCCGCAGAAGAAGCCCCGGCUAACUCCGUGCCAGCAGCCGCGGUAAUACGGAGGGGGCUAGCGUUGUUCGGAAUUACUGGGCGUAAAGCGCACGUAGGCGGAUCAGUCAGUUAGAGGUGAAAUCCCAGGGCUCAACCCUGGAACUGCCUUUAAUACUGCUGGUCUGGAGGUCGAGAGAGGCGAGUGGAAUUCCGAGUGUAGAGGUGAAAUUCGUAGAUAUUCGGAGGAACACCAGUGGCGAAGGCGGCUCGCUGGCUCGAUACUGACGCUGAGGUGCGAAAGCGUGGGGAGCAAA
rnacentral:rRNA from 1 species